UCUGAUUCUCUUCAAGCCUUCGGGUCAGGGC
rnacentral:piRNA from 1 species